rnacentral:rRNA from 1 species
CCUACGGGUGGCUGCAGUGGGGAAUAUUGCACAAUGGGCGCAAGCCUGAUGCAGCCAUGCCGCGUGUGUGAAGAAGGCCUUCGGGUUGUAAAGCACUUUCAGCGGGGAGGAAGGCGUUAAGGUUAAUAACCUUGUCGAUUGACGUUACCCGCAGAAGAAGCACCGGCUAACUCCGUGCCAGCAGCCGCGGUAAUACGGAGGGUGCAAGCGUUAAUCGGAAUUACUGGGCGUAAAGCGCACGCAGGCGGUCUGUCAAGUCGGAUGUGAAAUCCCCAGGCUCAACCUGGGAGCUGCAUUCGAAACUGGCAGGCUAGAGUCUUGUAGAGGGGGGUAGAAUUCCAGGUGUAGCGGUGAAAUGCGUAGAGAUCUGGAGGAAUACCGGUGGCGAAGGCGGCCCCCUGGACAAAGACUGACGCUCAGGUGCGAAAGCGUGGGGAGCAAACAGGAUUAGAUACCCCGGUAGUC